UGAAGCGCGAAAUGUAGUGUGAAUCGCAGGACAUUGUGAAUCAUCGAAUCUUUGAACGCACAUUGCGCCUCCCUCAGAGGGGAGGCAUGCCUGUCUGAGCGUCAUUCGAACCCAUGGGUCUCCCUCCUUGGGGGCCCGUGUUGGGCGUCGCGCGUCGCCGCGUCGCCUCGAACGGAUCGGUCGAGAGGGCGGACGAGAUCCAGUAGGACCCGAGCCGUCCCGAGACCCUAAAAGUCGGAAUUGACCUCAGAUCAGGUAGGGACACCGCCUGAACUUAA
rnacentral:misc_RNA from 1 species